GACGUGGUUCCACUAUGAUAGACCCCUCAGUAAUUUUUGGGAAUUAUUUACCACCCCCUCAGAAAUUUUCGUCAACAGGUAUACCUUCCUCCUCCCCCCUCAGAAAUUUAAAAAAAUUUUUUAACUCCUUGGAAAAUUACAAAAAUGUUGACACCUUAAAAAAUUUUCCUUUCACAAACCCCCUCGGAAAUUUCAACUUGGCACACCCUCAGAAAUUCAAAAUUUCAGACCCCCUUCGGAAAAUCUAGUCAACAGGAGGGUGUGGAUAUUAAAUGGAAUGGCCCUGUACUUCGUAUUAAUAUAUAACUACAUGAACUAAUUAUUAAAAAUAAACUGACCUUCAAACUGAAGAACUUGAUUGGCUUGUACACAUUGGUUUCUUUGUCAUAUAGUUCAAUUGCUGUUGCUUGUAAAUGUUUUAUAAACCAGUACUGCGAAGUAGCGAAAUUUCGGGCCGUCUUUCACAACAAAUAACAUCACAAUAACUGCACAUCUUUUUCUCUUUAAUACAGAAUCAUUUUCCCCGUCCAUUGAGUUAUAAUUUCCAAGACGAACCAGUCGCUAUAACGUAAAAUAAGCGGGUAUUUGUGAACAAAAAUGCCCUUUGAUAUAACACGAGGUAACCAGCGCCAUCUUGUCUUCUCCAAACAUUACAGAUUUUCCCGCCAAAACCCGCCCCCAA